rnacentral:rRNA from 1 species
UAAGCUUCAGUCUAGAGUUGACCGUACCGCAAACCGACACAGGUGGGCAGGAUGAAAAUUCUAAGGCGCUUGAGAGAACUCAGGAGAAGGAACUCGGCAAAUUAACACCGUAACUUCGGGAGAAGGUGUGCCCCGGUAGCGUGUAGAGACUUGCUCUCGAAGCGCGAUGGGGUUGCAGUGAAAUGGUGGCUGCGACUGUUUAAUAAAAACACAGCACUCUGCAAACACGAAAGUGGACGUAUAGGGUGUGACGCCUGCCCGGUGCCGGAAGGUUAAGUGAUGGGGUGCAAGCUCUUGAUCGAAGCCCCGGUAAACGGCGGCCGUAACAAUAACGGUCCUAAGGUAGCGAAAUUCCUUGUCGGGUAAGUUCCGACCUGCACGAAUGGCGUAACGAUGGCCACACUGUCUCCUCCUGGGACUCAGCGAAGUUGAAAUGUUUGUGAAGAUGCAAUCUACCCGCGGCUAGACGGAAAGACCCCAUGAACCUUUACUGUAGCUUUGCAUUGGACUUUGAACCGGUUUGUGUAGGAUAGGUGGGAGACUGUGAAGCCGGGACGCUAGUUUCGGUGGAGUCAACCUUGAAAUACCACCCUGAUUUGUUUGAGGUUCCAACCUUGGUCCGUGAAUCCGGAUCGGGGACCGUGCAUGGUAGGCAGUUUGACUGGGGCGGUCUCCUCCCAAAAGGUAACGGAGGAGUACGAAGGUACGCUUAGGGCGGUCGGACAUCGCCCACAAAGUGCAAUGGCAAAAGCGUGCUUGACUGCGAGACCCACAAGUCGAGCAGGUACGAAAGUAGGUCAUAGUGAUCCGGUGGUUCUGUAUGGAAGGGCCAUCGCUCAACGGAUAAAAGGUACUCUGGGGAUAACAGGCUAAUUCCUCCCAAGAGUUCAUAUCGACGGGGGAGUUUGGCACCUCGAUGUCGGCUCAUCACAUCCUGGGGCUGUAGUCGGCCCCAAGGGUAUGGCUGUUCGCCAUUUAAAGUGGUACGCGAGCUGGGUUUAAAACGUCGUGAGACAGUUUGGCCCCUAUCUGCCGUGGGCGCUGGAAAUUUGAAGGGGGCUGCUCCUAGUACGAGAGGACCGGAGUGGACGAACCUCUGGUGUACCGGUUAUGACGCCAGUCGUAUCGCCGGGUAGCUAUGUUCGGAAGAGAUAAACGCUGAAAGCAUCUAAGCGUGAAACUCGCCUUAAGAUAAGAUUUCCCGGAGUCUUGAACUCCCUGAAGGGUCGUCGAAGACCACGACGUUGAUAGGUCAGGUGUGGAAGCGCAGCAAUGCGUUAAGCUAACUGAUACUAAUUGCCC